AACUGGUUAAUCCCAUGCUGCCAAGAAAAGCCUCUAGCGAGUUGAUUUGGUGAUCGUACUGCAAACCGACACAGGUAGGCAGGGUGAGUAUCCUAAGGCGCUUGAGAGAACUCUGGUUAAGGAACUCGGCAUAAUGACACCGUAACUUUGGAAGAAGGUGUGCCUCCAUGUAGGUGAAGAAACUCGCUUUCGGAGCCGAGGGAGGUUGCAGAGAAAUGGGGGUAGCGACUGUUUACUAAAAACACAGGACUCUGCUAAAUCGUAAGACGAUGUAUAGGGUCUGACGCCUGCCCGGUGCUGGAAGGUUAAGGAGAGAUGUUAUCUUCUCCGAUUCGUCGGAGAGGAGAAGCUUUGAACUGAAGCCCCAGUAAACGGCGGCCGUAACUAUAACGGUCCUAAGGUAGCGAAAUUCCUUGUCGGGUAAGUUCCGACCUGCACGAAUGGCGUAACGACUUCCCCGCUGUCUCAACCAGGGACUCAGUGAAAUUGAAUUGACGGUGCAGAUGCCGUCUACCCGCGAAAAGACGGAAAGACCCCGUGCACCUUUACUACAGCUUGACAUUGGAUUUUGGAUUAGGAUGUGUAGGAUAGGUGGGAGGCUAUGAAAUCUCAACGCUAGUUGGGAUGGAGCCAACCUUGAAAUACCACCCUUCUUAAUUUAGGGUCCUAAUCUCAGUCCGUUAUCCGGAUUGGAAACAGUGUCUGGUGGGUAGUUUGGCUGGGGCGGUCGCCUCCUAAAGAGUAACGGAGGCGCGCGAAGGUUCCCUCAGGUUGAUUGGAAACCAACCGUAGAGUGUAAAGGCAUAAGGGAGCUUGACUGUAAGACCGACAGGUCGAACAGGUACGAAAGUAGGUCUUAGUGAUCCGGCGGUCCCUUGUGGAAGGGCCGUCGCUCAACGGAUAAAAGGUACGCCGGGGAUAACAGGCUUAUCGCCCCCAAGAGUUCACAUCGACGGGGCGGUUUGGCACCUCGAUGUCGGCUCAUCGCAUCCUGGGGCUGGAGCAGGUCCCAAGGGUUUGGCUGUUCGCCAAUUAAAGCGGUACGUGAGCUGGGUUUAGAACGUCGUGAGACAGUUCGGUCCCUAUCUUUCGUGGGCGUAGGAUAUUUGAGGGGAGCUGUCCUUAGUACGAGAGGACCGGGACGGACGAACCUCUAGUGUUCCAGUUGUCGUGCCAGCGGCACUGCUGGGUAGCUAUGUUCGGAAUGGAUAACCGCUGAAAGCAUCUAAGUGGGAAGCCAACCUCGAGAUCAGAUAUCCCUCUCCCGUGGAGACACGGGGGACUAAAGACCCCUUGAAGACUACAAGGUUGAUAGGCUAGAUGUGUAAGUGCAGUAAUGUACUGAGCUAACUAGUACUAAUAGGUCGUGCGGCUUGGCCAU
rnacentral:rRNA from 1 species